rnacentral:rRNA from 1 species
CGUGAAAGAACCUUACCCAGACUUGACAUGCAGAAGACAGCUUUAGAGAUAGAGUGUUCCUUAGGGACUUCUGCACAGGUGCUGCAUGGCUGUCGUCAGCUCGUGCCGUGAGGUGUUGGGUUAAGUCCCGCAACGAGCGCAACCCUUAUCAUUAGUUGCCAACACGUAAUGGUGGGAACUUUAAUGAGACUGCCCGGGUUAACCAGGAGGAAGGUGAGGAUGACGUCAAGUCCGCAUGGCCCUUAUGUCUGGGGCUACACACGUGCUACAAUGGUCGGUACAGAAGGCAGCGAAGCCGUGAGGUGAAGCAAAUCCCAAAAAACCGAUCCCAGUUCAGAUGUAGUUUG